rnacentral:rRNA from 1 species
GACGAACGCUGGCGGCGUGCUUAACACAUGCAAGUCGAACGAAGUGGCGAACGGGUGAGUAACGCGUAAUCAACCUGCCCUUCAGAGGGGGACAACAGUUGGAAACGACUCCUAAUACCCCAUACUGAAGGAGGGGAUUGCGUCGUAUUAGCUAGUUGGGGGGGUAACGGCCUACCAAGGCGAUGAUCAGUAGCCGGGCCUGGAGGAUGGACGGCCACAAUGGGACUGAAACACGGGCCAAAAUCCUACGGGAGGCAGCAGUUGGGAAACUUCCGCAAUGGACGAAAGUCUGACGGAGCAACGACGCGUGAGUGAUGACGGCCUUCGGGUUGUAAAGCUCUGUUAAUCGGGACGCGGUACCGGAAUAGAAAGCCACGGCUAACUACGUGCCAGCAGCCGCGGUAAUAC